UGCAUAAUUCGCUAAAAAGUAUUUCAAACUAUUUAACAUAUUGGUACUAUGUUUAUACUCUCUACCGCAGCUACUGUAUGAUGUCAUAGCAAUGACGUCACACUCAAGCCAAUCAGCCUUGAGGAGGAUAGACUCGUCGGACUGUAGCGGUUGUAAACAACUUGUCGCCCCGUGUGUCUGCCCGUGGCGCUAGUUAUCUGUCGAAGUUACCACUGACAAUGCCCAAAACAAGAACAACAAAGGCCCAAAGGUGGCUGUUUGGUAGUGCGCAAAGCUGCUGGUGGUGGUGGACGUCUCUGCCCUGACGCGCGGCGUGCGUCUGCUCAGUGUGGAGGUGCCGCUGACAGCGGUGCCGGCCGGACCGGCUGCCUCUCCGGCGGCCGACAUUGAGCGCGGCACGUGUCCGCCGCCGUUCGGGCCGCUGCAGCUGCUGCAGUCGGCGGCGCAGCUGUCCGUCUCCGUGUCGCUGGCCGUGCCGCUGGACCUGCUGCCGCGGCCGGCGCCGGCGCGCUGCGCCUACGGCCGCCUGCUGGCCGUCGUCUCGCAGCGCAGCCUGCAGCGCAGCGGCGUGCUGCAGCUCAUCCAGCAGCUCAACGAGCCGCCCAGCCCGGCGGCGGCCGAGGGCGCCGCGCCGCGCCGGCACGGCGACGUCAGCACACCUGGCAUCAGCGGCUUCUGCCUGGCCGACCGUCAGCUGCACCUGCUGUUCGCCGAGGGGCGCGCCGACGCCGAGCUGGAACAGACGGCGGCCGCGCCGCGCGCUCUGCCGCGCCGCGCGCUCUGCCGCGCCGCGACGCUCGACUCUGCCACCACUCGGGCCUACUGUUUACUGGGAGCGCCUGUACCCGCGCCAGCCGGCCGCGUUCCGCGUGCUCGAGGACCGCCCGCCACGCGCCCAGCUGCUCAACACCCGCCUCUACACGUUACAGAAACAGGAGCCGGCGCGCGCCGUCCGCGCCAUCAGAGAGUGCUUCCGCACGCAGUGGCUGUCGGAAAAUGAACCUGCUUCCCAACGAGGCCGGCCUGCAACAACUGCUGGCCGGCUGUUGGCCGAAAAAAAAAAACGCCUUCAACCGGAUGUCAGUUGUCAAAUCAACGCGUAUUAAUGCAUUCACUAGGAUGGGCUUACGUAAAGCUGUAGAAUUGCAAAUAUAUAAUGGCACUGUUUUUGA
rnacentral:lncRNA from 1 species